UGCUGUUCAGUGUCGUAAUUCCAAACGACUCUCGGCAACGGAUAUCUCGGCUCUCGCAUCGAUGAAGAACGUAGCGAAAUGCGAUACUUGGUGUGAAUUGCAGAAUCCCGUGAACCAUCGAGUCUUUGAACGCAAGUUGCGCCCAAAGCCUUGGCUGAGGGCACG
rnacentral:rRNA from 1 species